rnacentral:rRNA from 1 species
AACCUGGUUGAUCCUGCCAGUAGUCAUAUGCUAAUCUAAAAGAUUAAGCCAUGCAUGUCUAAGUAUAAACACGUUUGUACUGUGAAACUGCAGACAGCUCAUUACAACAGUUAUAAUUUAUUUGACAAUUGACUGUUACUCGGAUAACCGUGGUAACUCCAGGGCUAAUACGUGACAAAACCUGCGUUNCUUCGGGAANAAAGGCGUGCAUAUUAGCUUAAACCAACUUCGCAGUUGAACGAUAAUAUUCUGUCGGAUCGCGUUGGCUCCGCCAGCGACGUGUCAUUCAAGUUUCUGCCCUAUCAGCUUUGACGGUAGGGUAUUGGCCUACCGUGGCACUUACGGGUACGGGGAACGAUGGUUCGGUUCCGGAGAGGCAGCCUGAGAAACGGCUACCACAUCUACGGAAGGCAGCAGGUGCGAAAAUUGCCCAAUCCUGACACAGGGAGGCAGUGACCAGAAAUAACGAUAUGCAGCCUCAUGGUUGUGAUUCGGAAUGAGUACAACGCAAAACUCUUAACAAUGACCAAGYSGUGAGCAAGCCUGGUGCCAGCAGUCGCGGUAAUACCAGCACCACUAGCGUAUACUAAAGUUGUUGCUGUUAAAACGCUCCUAGUUGGAUAUCAGCCCGGACGGGCAUGGCCCGGCCGCGUUGCGGCCGUGUGUCAAAGCGGCUUGCCGCCGCCCUCCGGGCUUUUUCGGGAAACCCGGUCUGCCCAUUCACUUGGGUCGGGCCGGAGUGCUCCGAUCUUUUACUUUGAGAAAAUUAGAGCGCUCAAAGCAGGCAUUGCCUGGAUGCAUGAUCAUGGAAUAAUAAAACACGACUUUGGGCUCGCCCUCACCGAGAUUCCCGGGACGCGUUUGCUAGCCUUCGGGCCGGCCGGCGCGCCCCGGUGCAAUAUUGGUGGCCAAGGGGCGGGGGUUUUGUUGGUUUGGGCCAAAGUAAUGAUUGAUAGGAACAGCCGGGGGUGCUAGUAUCGCCGGGCCAGAGGUAAAAUUCUAUGAUCCCGGUGGGACUGCCGAAUGCGAAAGCACUCACCAAGCGUGUUUUCUUUAAUCAAGAACUAAAGCCUAGGGAUCGAAGACGAUCAGAUACCGUCGUAGUCUUGGCUAUAAACGAUGUCGACUAAGAAUUGGGCAUGAAUUGACUUCCCCAGCACUUUAUGAGAAAUCAAAGUUUUUGGACUCAGGGGGAAGUAUGCUCGCAAGAGUGAAAUUUAAAGGAAUUGACGGAAGGGCACCACCAGGAGUGGAGCCUGCGGCUCAAUUUGACUCAACACGGGAAAACUUACCAGGUCCGGACAUGGGGAGGAUUGACAGAUUAAAGUUCUUUCUUGAUUCCAUGAAUAGUGGUGCAUGGCCGCUUUUAGUUCGUGGAGUGAUUUGUCUGGUUAAUUCCGAUAACGAACGAGACCCUAGCCAUCUAACUAGCCGUCGCUAGCCCGCUAGCGUUUGUUACAAGCUCGGCUUCUUAGAGGGACCAACUGUGUUCAGCAGUGGGAAGCGUGGGGCAAUAGCAGGUCAGUGAUGCCCUUAGAAGGUCUGGGCUGCACGCGUGCUACAAUGGCCUACUCAGCGAGUCCAACCUGCCCCGAGAGGGGUGGGUAACCUUUAACGUGSGCCAAAGUGGGGAUAGACGAUUGUAAUUGUUCGUCUUGAACUAGGAACUCCUAGUAAACGCAAGUCAUUAUCUUGCAUUGAUUACGUCCCUGCCCUUUGUACACACCGCCCGUCGCUCCUCCCGAUCGAAUAAUGCGUUGAACUGGGUGGAGGCAGGCCUCUCCGGAGGCCGGCCGAAGCCUCGUGAACCUUGUUAUUUAGAGGGAGGACAAGUCGUAACAAGGUUUCCGUAGGUGAACUGCGGAAGGAUCA